GGGAUUAUAGGUGUGAGCCACUGUGUUUGGCCCUAUAUCCAUAUCUUUCCCAAUGAGAUCCAAUGGCCCAUCCCUUCAAACACUCUCUUACCUCUUGAAUUUAUUUUAUUUUUACUUUAAUAUAAUUAUAAAAUAUGUAUAUGUGUGCUGGUUAUUCUUCAUUAUUUCCUCUACCCCACAUCCAAUGCCCACUCUUCUCUGUCCUGCUCUUGCCCUGGGAGGCUAACCCCUGUGGAUCACACACUUCAAGUUUCCGUGCCACAUGGCUUCUGGUUGAAUUCAAUCAAUAGGAAGCACCAGCAAGAUAUUAGUAGGAGGGAAGAAAAACAGGUCAGGGUGGCACUUACUUCCGUACACCAGCUCUGACACUCCGGCUGUGACACUGUGACUCAAACAGGAAAAACUUGAAACUCUAUUUAUACCUUUCUCCCUUCUCCUCUAUAAAACAAAAGCCUUAAGUCACUAGUAUGGGGCAGCAAAUUCUGUCGCCCCAGGGAACAAAUGAAGAUCUACUGCAGCUGGGGACAGAAUAAAAGAAAAAAGGGUGAAAAAAGGAAAGAAAGAGUAAAAGAAAAAACAUAACAGUCCUGGGCCCAGAAUACUGUACCAACACAAUUAAAGGUCUCCUACCACUGGAGGACAACAGAAAACUCCCUCCAUACAAGAUCUGCUGCAAGUACAAAACAGAGUUUGGCUUCCAUGGAGAGGAGGAACAGGAUGACUGAGAUGCCACACUAAAACUCUGGCACAAAAGACCUAAGACUCAGACUAGAUCAGGAUAACAGAAAAAAUAUCCUGACCUCUACCACCAGACUUAGCAAGUACCAAGUAAAAAGCAACAAUAGACUACCUCUAGGGGAGGUGCAAGAGCAUGGAGAGAGACCCCACUGCAGAAUGAUGCACAAGGAAAGCAGAAAGCUAAAACGAAAGCAGGAACAUUGAGGAAAACUCUCCGGUACCACAGUCCCCAUUCUAACAAAGUUAACACCAGAGGAAUUUGAAGUUAGUGGUAUACAAAUAUAACCAUAACAACAACAGCAUCCAAAUCUAGCUCAACUCCUGACUCAAUUGACUCAGCCCCUGUCAUCUACCAUUACCAUCAAAUAUAUACACUAAUGGUCUUGCAGAAGAAAUUGUGUGCCCAUUUCCAGGCACAAAUACUAUAUAUCUCAUGCUCUGCUAUCCUACGUGCAAUGGACAGCAUUGUAUUAAAAAUUAUAAGACACUCACACAAAGGCAAGGGAAAAACCCACUGUCAAAAGACAAAGCAAUCAACAUUACAAAACGAAGAGAUGACCUAGGUGUUUGAACAAUCUGACAGGAAAUAUAUAAUUACUAUGAUUAAUAUCUUAAAGGUUCUAGUGGAAAGGAUGGAUAACACAUAUGAACAAAUGGAAAAUUUCAGCAGAGAGAAAAAUCCAAUAUAAAUGCUUAGAAGUUUAAACACAUUUAAUAACAGAGAUGAAGCAUGUCUUCAAUGUUAUCAUUAGUAGAAUUGAUGCAGUUGAGGAAAGAAAAAGUGAACUUUAAUGGUAAGUCAAUUACAAUUAUCUAAACUGAAAUAUAAAGAAUAAAAAGAAUAAAACAAACAGAACAGAGCAUCCAAAAGCAGUGGGACAAUAUUCAUGAUCUAACAUACAUGCAAUUAAAAAUCCAAGAGAGGAGAAAGACAAUGAGGCAGAAGAAGUAUUUGAAGAGUAUGGUUGAGAAUUUUUCAAAAAUAAUGAAAUACAUCAAACUAUAGAUCCAAAAAUCUUAGAGAGCCCCAAGUAAGAUAGAAACCCCCCAUAAAAAGCACAUAGACACAUCAUAUUUAAACUUCAAUAUGUAAACCAAAGAAGAAGAGAAAGCCCUGAAGGCAGCUAGAGGAAAAGAACAUAUUGCAUCCAGAGAAACAAAGGUAAGAAUUACAAAGACUUCUUGUCAAAAAAUAUACAAGCCCAAAGACAAUGGAAAGAGAUCUUUAAAGUGCUGCGGGUGGGAAUGGGGAGGGGCGGGGAAGUUCAAUCCAGAUUUCUACACUUAGCAAAAAUAUCUUUCAAAAAUGAAAGUAAAAUUAAGACUUUUUUAAAUAAAAUCUGUUCUGAACAAUUUUUAGGAGUCACCGAUACAUGGUUAGCAGUGUUUCAGGAAACCCUGAAAUCACACUGGAAGAGUCUGUCAAGACAGAAGAGAGAGGAGGCGGUUCCAAGAUGGAGCUGGAGAACACCAAGACUAAAAGACACAGAGAAUGAGAACUGUGCUGGUCUCCAGGUUCAUCUGCUUUCUUAAACUAACCAUGAGCCAAGAAACAAGUGGAAGAGGCCAGAUGAAAGGGAAAAGAAGAGCUAACACCAUAUGAGCUCUUAGUAACGCCAGGUAUUGCUCUCAGCACUUUGCAUUCUUAUUCUUAUCAAUUUAUUGUAUUUAAUUCUCACAGCAGCCCUGCCAGUCAGAUGCUUUAUCCCAUUUAACAAAUGUGAAAACUGAGGCACAGAGGUUAGACAAUUCCCUUAUGGUCACAUAGUAAGUGGUAGAGCUGGGAUCCUGAUAUGGUUUGGCUGUGUCCACACCCAAAUCUCAUCUUGAAUUAUAGUUCCCAUAAUCCCCACAUGUCAUAGGAGGAACCCAGUGAGAGGUCAUAGAAUCAUGGGGGCAGUUACCCUCAUGCUGUUCUCAUGAUAGUGAGUUCUCCUGAGAUCUGAUGGUCUUAUAAGGGGCUUUUCCCCCUUUGCUCAACACUCAUUCUCUCUCCUGCCACCCGUGAGGAGGUGCCUUCUGUCAUGAUUGUAAGUUUCCUGAGGCCUCCCUAG
rnacentral:lncRNA from 10 species